rnacentral:rRNA from 1 species
GAGUUGAUCCUGGCUCAGGAUGAACGCUAGCGGCAGGCUUAACACAUGCAAGUCGAGGGGUAACAGGGAGUGCUUGCACUCUGCUGACGACCGGCGCACGGGUGCGUAACGCGUAUGCAACCUACCUUCUACAGGGGGAUAGUCCAGAGAAAUUUGGCAUAAUACCCCAUACGAUCAUUUAUUGGCAUCGAUAGAUGAGGAAAACUCCGGUGGUAGAAGAUGGGCAUGCGUCCUAUUAGUUAGUUGGUAAGGUAACGGCUUACCAAGACAUCGAUAGGUAGGGGUCCUGAGAGGGAGAUCCCCCACACUGGUACUGAGACACGGACCAGACUCCUACGGGAGGCAGCAGUGAGGAAUAUUGGACAAUGGAGGCAACUCUGAUCCAGCCAUGCCGCGUGCAGGAAGACGGCCCUACGGGUUGUAAACUGCUUUUAUACAGGAAGAAACGCCGCUACGUGUAGCGGUUUGACGGUACUGUAAGAAUAAGGAUCGGCUAA